rnacentral:rRNA from 1 species
UGGACGGGGAUAAUCUCGGGAAACUGAGGCUAAUCCCCGAUAGGGCUUCCAUCCUGGAGUGGAGGAAGUCCAAAAGUUGCGCUGCGGCACCACAGGAUGUGGCUGCGGCCGAUUAGGUAGACGGUGGGGUAACGGCCCACCGUGCCAGUAAUCGGUACGGGUGAUGAGAGUCAGAGCCCGGAGACGGUAUCUGAGACAAGAUACCGGGCCCUACGGGGCGCAGCAGGCGCGAAACCUUUACACUGCACGACAGUGCGAUAGGGGGAUUCCGAGUGCGAGGGCAUACAGUCCUCGCUUUUCUGGAUCGUAAGGAGAUGCAAGAAUAAGGGCUGGGCAAGACCGGUGCCAGCCGCCGCGGUAAUACCGGCAGCCCGAGUGAUGGCCGAUAUUAUUGGGCCUAAAGCGUCC